rnacentral:rRNA from 1 species
GACGAACGCUGGCGGCGUGCUUAACACAUGCAAGUCGGACGGAAAGGCCCUGCUUGCAGGGUACUCGAGUGGCGAACGGGUGAGUAACACGUGGGUGAUCUGCCCUGCACUUCGGGAUAAGCUUGGGAAACUGGGUCUAAUACCGGAUAGGAGCCAUCUUUAGUGUGGUGGUUGGAAAGUUUUUUCGGUGUAGGAUGAGCUCGCGGCCUAUCAGCUUGUUGGUGGGGUAAUGGCCUACCAAGGCGGCGACGGGUAGCCGGCCUGAGAGGGUGUACGGCCACAUUGGGACUGAGAUACGGCCCAGACUCCUACGGGAGGCAGCAGUGGGGAAUAUUGCACAAUGGGCGCAAGCCUGAUGCAGCGACGCCGCGUGGGGGAUGAAGGCCUUCGGGUUGUAAACUCCUUUCGCUAGGGACGAAGCUUUGUUGUGACGGUACCUAGAUAAGAAGCACCGGCUAACUACGUG